UAGUACAACAGUCAUCCUAUUUAAAAGUGCUUCCUACUCAGAAGCUUUUUUUUUUUUAACUCUAUAUAAUCAUCCAUAAAACUAUUCGAAAAUCUUUUUAAAACUGUUUCCUACUCGAAAUCUUUAUUUUGAAAACUGACUACCGAGGGGUAGAAAACUACAAUGCAUAAGUGCGUAAAACCAAACCACAUGUUCAUAAAUCUCAAA
rnacentral:lncRNA from 1 species